rnacentral:rRNA from 1 species
AUUGAACGCUGGCGGCAUGCCUUACACAUGCAAGUCGAACGGUAACAGGUUAAGCUGCCGAGUGGCGAACGGGUGAGUAAUGUAUCGGAACGUGCCCAGUCGUGGGGGAUAACUGCUCGAAAGAGCAGCUAAUACCGCAUACGACCUGAGGGUGAAAGCGGGGGAUCGCAAGACCUCGCGCGAUUGGAGCGGCCGAUAUCAGAUUAGGUAGUUGGUGAGGUAAAGGCUCACCAAGCCGACGAUCUGUAGCUGGUCUGAGAGGACGACCAGCCACACUGGGGGUGAGAGACGGCGCAGAGACUCAUGGGGGGGGGAGGGGGGGGAAUUUGGGGAAAGGGGGCAAAACCGAGACCCACCCGCGCCGCGGGGGAAAAAAGCCCGUGGGGGUUGAAACCCUUUUGUGAGGGAAAAAAAGAGUUUGGGGAAAACCCGGGGGACUCGAGGGUAUCUGUAAAAAAAGAACCGGGUAAAACCAC